GGGAACGUACCCUUCGGUUCGGAAUAACGCUGGGAAACUAGCGCUAAUACCGGAUACGCCCUUUUGGGGAAAGGUUUACUGCCGAAGGAUCGGCCCGCGUCUGAUUAGCUAGUUGGUGGGGUAAUGGCCUACCAAGGCGACGAUCAGUAGCUGGUCUGAGAGGAUGAUCAGCCACACUGGGACUGAGACACGGCCCAGACUCCUACGGGAGGCAGCAGUGGGGAAUAUUGGACAAUGGGCGCAAGCCUGAUCCAGCCAUGCCGCGUGAGUGAUGAAGGCCUUAGGGUUGUAAAGCUCUUUUGUCCGGGACGAUAAUGACGGUACCGGAAGAAUAAGCCCCGGCUAACUUCGUGCCAGCAGCCGCGGUAAUACGAAGGGGGCUAGCGUUGCUCGGAAUCACUGGGCGUAAAGGGCGCGUAGGCGGCCAUUCAAGUCGGGGGUGAAAGCCUGUGGCUCAACCACAGAAUUGCCUUCGAUACUGUUUGGCUUGAGUAUGGCAGAGGUUAGUGGAACUGCGAGU
rnacentral:rRNA from 1 species